AUUGAACGCUGGCGGCAGGCUUAACACAUGCAAGUCGAGCGAGCGGCGGACGGGUGAGUAAUGUCUGGGGAACUGCCUGAUGGAGGGGGAUAACUACUGGAAACGGUGGCUAAUACCGCAUACUAUCAGAUGUGCCCAUAUGGGAUUAGCUAGUAGGUGGGGUAAUGGCUCACCUAGGCGACGAUCCCUAGCUGGUCUGAGAGGAUGACCAGCCACACUGGGACUGAGACACGGUCCAGACUCCUACGGGAGGCAGCAGUGGGGAAUAUUGCACAAUGGGCGCAAGCCUGAUGCAGCCAUGCCGCGUGUAUGAAGAAGGCCUUAGGGUUGUAAAGUACUUUCAGCGAGGAGGCGUUACCCGCAGAAGAAGCACCGGCUAACUCCGUGCCAGCAGCCGCGGUAAUAC
rnacentral:rRNA from 1 species